GUUCCGUAGGUGAACCUGCGGAAGGAUCAUUAUUGUAUAACCGAGGUGCUAGGGCUGUCCCUGACCCGAAAGGUCUUGCACCCCCGAGUGCCCUCACACACAUCCAUCUCACCCCUAUGUGGACCACCGCGUGGGUCCCCCUUUGGCCUGUUCGGGGGGGGUCUUACGUGUUCAAACAUCCUUAGUACGCAUUGUAGAAUGUAUUAUUUGUUUUUGCGAUCACGCAAUCAAUACAACUUUCAACAACGGAUCUCUUGGCUCUC
rnacentral:misc_RNA from 1 species